AGGUAAAGUGUUACCAAAUCUGAAGCUGUUUUGCCAGUGAGGACACUAACCACAGGCAGUGACACAGGAUCAAAGGUGAGGCCAGAAGCCAUCUCAAGCACUACAGGAGAUGAGAGAACCUCCCACUGGGCUAAAGGAACUGGACAGAGGGCCAGCAACGUAACGAUACUUCCGGACUGUUUAAAAGCAUGGAUCCAGGAAAGGAGUAAUGCAACCUCCAGAAAACAAACCCAUGAACCCGUCACAUCAACCCAGAGCCCCCAGAGAAGUUAAUCCACCCACACGCAGGUUCAUCAUGGCCCAGACCGCUUACGGUAGGUUCUGAAGGGGCAAGUUCACCUUAAGCGAUUCUCACGUCUAACUGGGCGUGUUGGGAAUCACGAAACUUUCUAAACCUCAGAAUCAUUAUUAUGGUUAAAAAAGAAAAUCAGAUAUAUACAAUUAUUUUAUCUGACAUUUUUGUUAGUUGAAAUGGAUUGACAAACUGCUUUUAUCAAUUUAUAUAGCUGUUUUUACCUGUUUACACAGCUAAGUUCAUUUAAGUACUUCAUUUAAGGGCUCCUCAGUUUUUACCCAGCACUCAUUAUCCUGUAAACUGAAACUGGAUAGAUUGAAGGCCCCCUUCAGAGAAUGCAGUCAUUUGCUAAAUACUGAAUGAAAAUCUUUUUUUGGGAGUGACAUCUGGUACUCAUGGGAGAGAGUUCGACGUUACAUAAGACUCAUAUGCUUCUGCUGCUUACAGCAAUAACAAGAAACACACCGGAGACUAAA